UAGAAGGAGAGAAAGACAAGGUCGAGGCCGCAAGAUCAAACUCCCACAAAUGUUUCUGCUGCAUUAUAUUCCCGAUGACAUUAGUAGCCGGAGCUCCGGCCGGCACAAACCCUAAACACCUGAUUCCUGGAGAAGCAGUAGCUAUCAGGUAGCUUUUACGAUAAGGCGCGAAACGAGCACCGCCCUUGAAAUGAAACGACAGCUGCGGCAGCUUGCUAUCGUCGAACUUGCUGGUAUCAAAACAAUACUCCAUUGGUAGUCCUUCUGGUUUGACUCUUUUCACGCCGACAAGGUGACGCUCUAGCCCCGACACAACCGCCUUGUACGCUACAUCAGCCAAGAACGUGAGGCUGCUUCCUGAGUCCAAGAUGGUCCCACCACCUUUUCUUACCUCCCACACUCAAGAACACUGAGGUGAUAGGAUACUGUGAUGCAGAUUGGGCUGGAGAUAGAGUAGACAGAAGGUCAACCACCGGUUAUUGUACAUUCAUUGGAGGGAAUCUUGUCACUUGGAAGAGCAAGAAACAGAAAGUAGUAUCUUGUUCAAGCGCAGAAGCAGAGUACAGAUCAAUGAGGAAGCUAACCAGUGAGCUUAUCUGGAUAAAGGGGCUUUUAGGCGACUUGGGAAUUGAGAUCACCUCUCCCAUGACCAUGCACUGUGACAACCAAGCCGCAAUACACAUUGCAUCCAACUCAGUCUUUCAUGAAAGGACAAAGCACAUAGAAGUAGACUGCCACAAGGUCAGACAAGCAGUGGAGCAGCAAGUGAUUCUCCCAUGUUAUACAAGAAGUGCGGAUCAGCUGGCUGACAUCUUCACCAAGGCGGUCAGUAGCAAAGUUUGUGAGUCCAUUCUUCCAAGACUUGGACUCAUAAACCUUCCAUGUCAAUGAUCUCCUCACCGUGGAGUAUUCUACUCUUUUUCCUUUGCUUGGUUUUUUAUCCCAAGUGGUUUUUCCAAGAAAAGGUUUUUAUGAGGGAAUAAUUCAUGGCUUUCCAAGCUUGACAUUCACUACUGUCAAGCUUGAAGGGGAGUGUUGACAUGAAGAAUUAAACAAAGGGAAGUAGUGGAGGAAGUGGGAGAAGUGGCCAUAUCACUUACCAAAUGGGGAGGAGUGGCUAGUCCACUACUAGUUAGUGGAGGAAGUGGGAGGAGUGACCAUAUCACUUACCAAAUGGGGAGCAGUGGCUAGUCCACUACUAGUUAUUUAUUCUUCCACCAUUGAGUGUUUAUUGCUUUUGUUUCCUUUAAAUACACCAUUAAAACACACAAUUCAAUACAAACAUUUCUUUCAUUCUCUCAAUCUCACAAAUCCUCUCAUUCUCUUAAAUUCGCAAAUUUCUCUUCUCUCUCAAAUACUUACGGUUACUUCACUCCUUUUUUACUUUGUUCGUGUGCUUCAUCACGGUUAAAACACUUAGAAGCUCUCAUAAUCCCACGAAUUAUCAAGAACGAAAAUGAUCUUAAAGUGAAGAUGCCUUAACCAGUUUUGUGAACAUUAUUUGAUCUUUCAAUAACAAUUUUUUAAUAUUGUCAAGUAAUAAAACGCCAAGAUAAAUAUAUCUAAAGGCAGGUAGAAGGAGAGAAAGACAAGGUCGAGGCCGCAAGAUCAAACUCCCACAAAUGUUUCUGCUGCAUUAUAUUCCCGAUGACAUUAGUAGCCGGAGCUCCGGCCGGCACAAACCCUAAACACCUGAUUCCUGGAGAAGCAGUAGCUAUCAGGUAGCUUUUACGAUAAGGCGCGAAACGAGCACCGCCCUUGAAAUGAAACGACAGCUGCGGCAGCUUGCUAUCGUCGAACUUGCUGGUAUCAAAACAAUACUCCAUUGGUAGUCCUUCUGGUUUGACUCUUUUCACGCCGACAAGGUGACGCUCUAGCCCCGACACAACCGCCUUGUACGCUACAUCAGCCAAGAACGUGAGGCUGCUUCCUGAGUCCAAGAUGGUCCCACCACCUUUUCUUACCUCCCACACAUGGGGAGGGAUGUUGAGCAUGGUAUCUCCGAUGGAGAUUCC
rnacentral:lncRNA from 1 species